UGAUCGUAUAAGGAAAUGCAGGCUGCUCAUGCUUUUCUCUGUUCCAUUUAGGAUAAUUACCUGAGCUAUUCUAACAGAUGUUACAAGAAUCACAGCAUUGGAAAAACUCCUUGGUAGUCACAUGCACCAUUGGUCAACACCACUGAGACAAAAGGGUCGAGUUGCGAGCUCAACACUCACCUGGCAUGGAUGGAAAGAGUGCUCGGGAACGGCCCGACUGGAUUCGAACCCGGGAACCUCCGUUCCAGAGUCCAGCGCUGAUGCCGCUGCGCCACCAGCCAACCUUAUAAUGUUAGCAAACUGUACUAAUAUAGAUCGAUAUUCACCUGAACCAGUUUAAGAAGGUGCUGCCGAAUCUCAAUGAUUUGUAGCUGGUGGCCAAUGAAACAAAGAAAACAACUAAAUACUUGGGUAAUCACUUUUUUCCUGGCAAAUGGUUGUCGAAAACAGUAGCAUGUACAUACAAAUGUCAUUCCUACAAGGAGUUAUCAUUUCUUCAGUAUAAGUUCUUAGUUCGAUAUCUGCAGGCUUCAGUUCAGUAUCUUUGAACUGCCAUUCAAACUCAUUUUGUAGAAUGACUGGAAUAGAUGAACCAGUGUCCAAUUCCACCUUAAUUAUUUUGCUGUUUAGAAGUCAAUGGCAAAUUGCUUGUCUAUUGUUAGUUUUCACUUUGUAAGUCUUCAGGCUACCUAGUCUGUGUUAUUCUCUUCACAUAUGUGGGUUAGUGCUCUUUUUGAACUAGACUUUGUAUCUUCCUUUUCUUCCCUGUGCAGCCAAUUUAUUUUUGU